rnacentral:misc_RNA from 1 species
ACAAACUUGGUCAUUUAGAGGAAGUAAAAGUCGUAACAAGGUUUCCGUAGGUGAACCUGCGGAAGGAUCAUUAUUGAAUAAUAAACCUGGCUAGUUGUCGCUGGCUCUUCGGAGUAUUGUGCACGCUUGCCUUGAUUUAUCUUCAUCCACCUGUGCACACUCUGUAGUCUCGGGAACUUUCAAUGGAUUUCCAUCGGAGGAGGAUCUGCUUGUGGCUGUCCUCUUUGCCUUGAGACUACGUGUCUUUCCAUACGCUCUGUAGUCAGUCUCAGAAUGCAAUCAUUGGGCCUCUGUGCCUAUAUAAACUCUAUACAACUUUCAGCAACGGAUCUCUUGGCUCUCGCAUCGAUGAAGAACGCAGC